UACGUAGGGGGCAAGCGUUGUCCGGAAUUACUGGCGUAAAGCGCGUGUAGGCGGGACGGUUAGUCGGACGUGAAAGGCUGGGGCUCAACCCCAGAUCGCCGUUCGAAACUGCCGUUCUUGAGGGUCGAAGAGGAGAGUGGAAUUCCUGGUGUAGCGGUGAAAUGCGUAGAGAUCAGGAGGAACACCCAUGGCGAAGGCAGCUCUCUGGUCGACAUCUGACGCUGAGACGCGAAAGCGUGGGGAGCAAACGGG
rnacentral:rRNA from 1 species